ensembl:lncRNA
GUUCAUCGAGAGAAGCUGGUCACGUUAGUAUUACAUACGUUCUGAGAAACUCCAGUCACAGCACUGAGACUAAAGCCAUCAGAGCCACAUGGGUCGUAUACACACACGCCUCUCCCUGACCCAUCAGGGAUGCCACAGUUGGACAGUGUAACAGCUGGGAGAGAACGAGAAAGAAAGAAAGAAAGAAAGAAAGAAAGAAAGAAAGAAAGAAAGAAAGAAAGAAAGAAAGAAAGAAAGAAAGAAAGAAAGAAAGAAAGAAAGAAAGAAAGAAAGAAAGAAAGAAAGAAAGAAAGAAAGAAAGAAAGAAAGAAAGAAAGAAAGAAAGAAAGAAAGAGAAGAUAUAUUGAGAGAGGAGAGGUUCGUAACUACACAGCAGGUCACUUGUUAAGGGUGAUUGUCAGUCAUUUUUGAGGUGUCCAUUUGUCUUAAGCAAAGAGAACGAUAGCACUGCGAUUGGUGGAAAUGUUGAACCUCCAACAGAAAGGAUUCUGGGAAGGCUCCCUAAUUAGUCACAGUAGCUUGAUCAGGAUGUAGAGUAAACUCAGACUGGGUCCAUGGUGAUGGAAGAGAGCCACAUAGAAACGUCUUCCAGUGCAGUCCUCUGAUAGACAAUUCACUUACUCGCCACCACUGCCAUGUCCCACUUUAGCCAAUUCAUGUAGGCUAUAAGCGCUUUAAGAGUGGUUUCUUAGUUCCGAUGGACACAGAGUGCUCUUUCUCACACAGGCAGUUAUUUCACUGCCAACUACUCUCGCACUGAAGGUUGUUGCACACAAUGUUGCUUUGUAUUGCACAGCGUUAUUGUGUAAACAAUAUUGAAUACCUGUGAAGCAUUUUCUACUUGCUCUCGCACAGAAAGACAUCCAUUCUCUUUGUGGAACGGAUGGUACAUUAUUGGAUCUAAUGUUUAUUUCAAGAGGCAGGCAGGAAAAUGCAACAAAGAGCAUGUGCAAGGACCCAAACAGACACACACAGUCUACGUCUGCAAUGACACCCUAUUCCCUGUAUAGUGCACUACUUUUGCCCACAGCCCAAUGUGGGCCCAAGUAUUGCACUCUUUCGGAGGCACACGCACAUAAUACUGUCAGCAUAAUCAAUUAGAUCACUUUAAAUUGGAGUCAGGCCCCGAUUCAGACCACAUAAUUGACUUAGACCUCAGAAACGUUGUCUCAUAAAAAAUGUAUAAUUUUUUAAUAAAAUAAUAAUUAAGAACACAAAUAUCAAUACCAUCAAGUACUGAGGAUAUGACCAAACCAGUCACAUGCAAUCAGUUACAGAAGCAUAUGACAAUAUCAUGAUACUCAAACAGUCUUGUAUGAAGUUAUUACAUCUCAGUAAGUCUGUUUAUUGUGUGUCUAUGAUAAUGCAGGUGUUUGAUCUUGAAAGUCUAGGUGAGCCUACAGUUGACCUUGAAUGUGUAAGAGAAGGUUUUGUGGGUGGUGUGUGUGUGUGUCUGUGUCUGUGUGUGUGGUUGAGGAACCCACCACAGGAAUGUGAGGUGUGUGAAGCAAACAGCUGUGGGUUCGAAAACCGACAAGACCGCACUAUGAUGCAUGUUAUCUCACUAUUUCCCCGCAGACAUUCAGGCCUCCCCCCCCUCUCUCUCUCUCC